GUAGGGAAUAUUGCACAAUGGGGGAAACCCUGAUGCAGCGACGCCGCGUGAGUGAUGAAGGCCUUCGGGUCGUAAAGCUCUGUCGUAUGGGACUAACACAAUGAAGGUACCAUGCAAGAAAGGAUCGGCUAACUUCGUGCCAGCAGCCGCGGUAAGACGAGGGAUCCUAGCGUUGUUCGGAAUCAUUGGGCGUAAAGCGGGUGUAGGCGGAUUUAUAAGUCAGGUGUGAAAUCCCAGGGCUCAACCCUGGAAGUGCACUUGAUACUGUAAAUCUUGAGUGUGGUAGAGGUUACUGGAAUUGUUGGUGUAGUGGUGAAAUACGUAGAUAUCAACAGGAAUACCGGAGGCGAAGGCGAGUAACUGGGCCAACACUGACGCUGAGACCCGAAAGCGUGGGGAUCAAACAGGAUUAGAUACCCCGGUAGUCC
rnacentral:rRNA from 1 species